AGAACUUAGCAGAGAUGCUUUGGUGCCUUCGGGAACUCUGAGACAGGUGCUGCAUGGCUGUCGUCAGCUCGUGUUGUGAAAUGUUGGGUUAAGUCCCGCAACGAGCGCAACCCUUAUCCUUUGUUGCCAGCGGUCCGGCCGGGAACUCAAAGGAGACUGCCAGUGAUAAACUGGAGGAAGGUGGGGAUGACGUCAAGUCAUCAUGGCCCUUACGAGUAGGGCUACACACGUGCUACAAUGGCGCAUACAAAGAGAAGCGACCUCGCGAGAGCAAGCGGACCUCAUAAAGUGCGUCGUAGUCCGGAUUGGAGUCUGCAACUCGACUCCAUGAAGUCGGAAUCGCUAGUAAUCGUAGAUCAGGAUGCUACGGUGAAUACGUUCCCGGGCCUUGUACACACCGCCCGUCACACCAUGGGAGUGGGUUGCAAAAGAAGUAGGUAGCUUAACCUUCGGGAGGGCGCUUACCACUUUGUGAUUCAUGACUGGGGUGAAGUCGUAACAAGGUAAGCGUAGCGAG
rnacentral:rRNA from 1 species